rnacentral:misc_RNA from 1 species
CGUGACUCGAACUACUUUGGACGUGAUCCAUCGAUGCUGACGAUUAUUGUUUGUUGCGCCAUGUGACGUGCAAUUUAGAAUUGAAAAAGAAUCGACCGUUCCCGCGACACAGUGAAGGUUGCAUUGCAUUGGAUGGUAUUUUAACCAUCUACAACAAUUCUUACAAACAGAGCGUCGAAACAGGACUUGUCCAAUGUAACCGGCACAGCGUGAACGACGCCGAGGAGUCGCGCGAGGUUACGCAAAACAAAAGAUUGUUUGUCAGUCGAUUCGGAGAAGAUAAGGGAACGUCGAUGAUCUGUAACGUCGCUAAUUGGCCGUUUCGACGAUGGGGGACCAAGUGAAAGGCAUCGACGCAACGGAGGAAUCGUUAAAAUCUCGGCCGAGACGCAACCACGCAAAAAAACGUUCGAAGCAGGAAAAAGUAGCGGUGGUCUCCGCUCAAGACACAGAGGAGUGAGUAAGCCGUAAGGAGAGUGUGGACGCAAGUAAAAGGGAAGUUCUUUAAGGGGCGCGCACACGAACGAUCGGGCCACGUGCCAGGCAGGUGCAACCAUACCGAAGAAGCUUUCUCGAACAACACCGUUUAUCUUCUCCUUCUUUUACUUCUCUCUAAACCGCCCCUCGGCACGAGGGCCUACUACUAUGCCCCAUCGUUCGAGUUCAUCGUGCGGGAAAAAGCUAGACAAAUAAC